UGUUUUUUAUUUGUCCUUCACGUAGUUCUUUUGCUUAGUUCCUUAGUUUCAAUUUUACAUGCGCACAGUUUGGGUUCAGCAUCGGAAUGUGGAGCUGUUCAGAUAAUAACCAGUUUUGAGAAACAAAGAGUAACGGCAUGGUAGAAAAUUAUGCCCGAAGUACAAACACGUACAGAGAAUACCCAUGGCGGAGGUGAGCUCGGGUGUAUUUACAGGACAGGGCAGGAGAGGUUAGCAGCUCAUGGCCAUUGGGGCAGGCUGCACUCUUGUAUGACCGCUAAGCAGCCACCAGGUUAAAGGUCCUCCCAGCUGAAAGAGCCCCCCACCACCAGGAAGCCAGUUUGAUGAGGUCAGUCCCAGGUACGCUCAUGAUGGGGAGCUGCUGAUUCUGGGCCUGAUUCUGUCUCAUCUAGUGCCUGAUCCUGAGAGGCGCUGAGCCCUGCUGCCUCCCAUUGGCCUCAGAGACAGUGCUGGUGCUCAGUGCUCUCUGGGUCAGGCCCUCAGGAAGGUUUUACUUAGGUGAUUUUCCAUGGUGUGGACAAGAGCAGGAUGUGGCCCGGGGUUAAUGCUUGGGUGCUCUAAGAACAGGCCAUUGGCUCUGACUGGGGUGGGCGCUUUGUCCUCCUUUGCUCUUCCUCUCCGGCACCUUUGCCCUCCCACCUCCCUGCAGAUCAGACUCAGCCCCCAAACAAGCCCUCGCUCUGCAAGGUGGGGCAACAUCACUAGCCCCAUUGUACAGAGGAGGGGUCUCAGCACGGGCCAUGGGGUGACCCUCCCAAAGCCACACAGCAAGUCAGCAGCAAAGGUGGACCCACUCAGCCCCCUGUUCUAAUCACCAGCCACAUUCACUCCCAGAGCCUGGACUAGAACCAAUGUCCUGAGUCCCACUCUCCCAUUCCAACCACUAGAUGUCCUGACUCCCAGUCCCAGUGCUCUAACCCCCAGCUCCAGAUAUCACGCCUCUUCCAGACAAGGGGGUGGCACCCAGGGGUCCUGACUCCCAGUCCUAGUGCUCUAACCCCCGGCUCCAGAUAUCACGCCUCUUCCAGACAAGGGGGUGGCACCCAGGGAUCCUGACUCCCAGGCCCAGUGCUCUAACCCCCGGCUCCAGGUACCACGCCUCUCCCAGACAAGGCGGUGGCACCCAGGGGUCCUGACUCCCAGUCCCAGUGCUCUAACCCCCAGCUCCAGGUACCACGCCUCUCCCAGACAAAGGGGUGGCACCCAGGGGCCCUGACUCCCAGUCCCAGUGCUCUAACCCCCGGCUCCAGGUACCACGCCACUCCCAGACAAGGGGGUGGCACCCAGGGGUCCUGACUCCCAGGCCCAGUGCUCUAACCCCCGGCUCCAGGUACCACGCCUCUCCCAGACAAAGGGGUGGCACCCAGGGGCCCUGACUCCCAGUCCCAGUGCUCUAACCCCCAGCUCCAGGUACCACGCCUCUCCCAGACAAAGGGGUGGCACCCAGGGGCCCUGACUCCCAGUCCCAGUGCUCUAACCCCCGGCUCCAGAUACCACGCCUCUCCCAGACAAGGGGGUGGCACCCAGGGGUCCUGACUUCCAGUCCUAGUGCUCUAACCCCCGG